rnacentral:lncRNA from 10 species
UUCACAUUCCAUUUGGAUGCCUCUUGAGUGACUCCAGGCCUCUCCAGCUCUAAAACAUUAAGAUCAGGCCCUACGCUACAGCUGGCCAGUGUGUAAUUCUUCUGUUUCUAUGCUGUUAGGUCAAAUAGAUCUUCAAUAGUUACUUGAUUGUUAUUACUUUUUUCUGAAGUGGGUGUUUUAUCAAUGUUUUAGGAUACAGUGAGUCUGCUUCUCCCCUUUGGAGUUAGGAAGGUUGUAGGAAUAUACACUGUAGAGCAUAUGGGAGCUUUAUCCCCUCCUUUUUUCCCCGCUACCUUUCUCCCUCUCCUUCCCUUCAUCACAUUUCUAUUGAGCAUAUGCCAUUGCCGUGUACCAGGUGUGUGCUAGGUUUGGAGAUACAAGGUAAACCUGAGACUUUCCCAGUCUCCAGGAGACAAAACCCUAAUUUCUUUCAUCUGCUGUCUUUCUCUUUGGAAAGAAUCAACGAUAUCCCAGGGGAAUGUGCCCAUGUCCCAGGGUAACCAACUACAGACAGAUGCCCCAUUCUACUCAAGCAACUUUUAGAGUGCCUUGAGAUACACAUCAGAUAAUUAUGCAGGGCCAGGCAUGGUGCUGCACACUUGUAAUCACAGCACUUUGGGAGGCCGAGGCAGCAGAUUGCUUGAGCCCAGGAAUUCAAGUGUAGCCUAGGGAACAUGGCAAAACCCCAGCUCUACAAAAAAAUACACAAAUUAGCUGCGUGUGGUGGCCUAUGACAGGAGGCUGAGAUGGGAGGAUUGCUUGAGCCUGUGAGGUCGAGGCUGCAGUGAGCCGAGAUCAUGCCAUUACUCCAGCCUGGGUGACAUAGGGAGACCCUGUCUUGAAAAAAAAAAAAAAAAGAUAAUUAUUCAGCCCUAGAGUCAUUGUGAAAAGAUCUAUCUUCAGAUAUAAGGAAGAAACAAUCUUUUAUUUCUUAGGAUAAAUCUGUAGAAGGACCUCCAGACAGUGAAGGCCACUGACUACUUUAUACUCUGUAAGCCAUCCCUCCCUGGUAGGAAGGACUAUUUCCAAUCUUACAGAGUACCUCUCAGCAAAUAGACGUUUUCACAUAUACUGUGAUUCAUACAUCCCUAUGGCUGGUGACCUCUUUAAAAAGGAAAGGAAAAAGCCUAAUCAAACAAAAAGAUGCUGCUAGUAAUUCUUACCCUAUUGUGAAUCCUAUAUAAGCAAAUUUGUAUCUUUGUUUUUUCCUACAUUAGCAGAUCUAUUUGAUGUAUAUCUCUGAGUGCAGAAAAUAUUUUAUGGAAAAAUCAAUAUAUGGAAUUUCAAAUUCAGAAUUGCUGAUACACACUAUUUGGUUUCACAAUUUUAUCCUAGGAAAUAGUAUUAGAGAUUUCAAUUUCUGGCUUAAAUGGUAGAAUUAAUUACUCUUAACUCUUAAUUUUACUUCUGAGUUGAGGUCAAGGAACAGGCAGACACCUGCAGUUAACGUCUAUACCUCUCCAUGGCCAAGAGUUUUAAUUUUCUCGUCUUCAAUUUUGUAGAUGUUCAUCAUUACUAAAUGGAUUGAUUAGUAUUUUAUCUCCUCUCCUUGUCCUUACUUUCCCUCUGGUAAAUAUGUUAUAAACAGUGUAAGGCUCCUAAGAUAGAGUAGCUGGUAGGACUUAGAAGAGAAACAAAGGGCACUGAUAACUCACAUAAAUGGAAAAUUGGCUCUGGAAUAACUGACAACAUAUUCAAGUAUUUUAGUGCAGUGUCACUCUCAUUAAGAAGAAGAGAAUCAGUAAAUCUAUGUGACUCUAAACAUUCUAAUGAAAAAAGGAAUAUUCUGCCAAUUAUCUCACAUUUCUAAAUAUCUGGAUAUUGGCCAUUGUAAAGACAAAACAUACAGAUGAUGGACUUGUCUUUCCACCUCUCAUUUGCAUGGUUUGGAGCAUUGUACCUCCAGCCAUAGACUCUAAGGCAAUUUAUAUUUGCUUCCUCUUCCCUCUUGAGAGAAAACGAAAAUCUUAUUUUUCCAAGCAAUUAAAACUCUUCUGCUUCAGCUAGGAUGAAAGAAUUAGGAGUUCUGUCUCCUUGUAUCUAAUUGCAUGUUUCAUCUUUCUUGUUUUAAUGAUUGACAGAAAACUAAUAAACUGAGACAUCUUUG